GGUUUUCUUGGGUUAUAGUUAGAUUUGAAAUCUUACUUAGGGUGUUCGAUUCAUUCAAAAACUU
rnacentral:tRNA from 2 species